rnacentral:rRNA from 1 species
UACGUAGGGAGCAAGCGUUGUCCGGAAUUACUGGGCGUAAAGGGUGCGUAGGCGGCAUAUUAAGUCAUAUGUGAAAACCCCAUGCUUAAGAUGGGAGGUGCAUGUGAAACUGGUAUGCUAGAGUACAGGAGAGGUAAGUGGAAUUCCUAGUGUAGCGGUGAAAUGCGUAGAUAUUAGGAGGAACACCAGUGGCGAAGGCGGCUUACUGGACUGAAACUGACGCUGAGGCACGAAAGCGUGGGGAGCAA